rnacentral:rRNA from 1 species
AGUGAACGCUGGCGGUAGGCCUAACAUAUGCAAGUCGAACGGCAGCACAGUAAGAGCUUGCUCUUACAGGUGGCGAGUGGCGGACGGGUGAGGAAUACAUCGGAAUCUACUUUUUCGUGGGGGAUAACGUAGGGAAACUUACGCUAAUACCGCAUACGACCUACGGGUGAAAGCAGGGGAUCUUCGGACCUUGCGCGAUUGAAUGAGCCGAUGUCGGAUUAGCUAGUUGGCGGGGUAAAGGCCCACCAAGGCGACGAUCCGUAGCUGGUCUGAGAGGAUGAUCAGCCACACUGGAACUGAGACACGGUCCAGACUCCUACGGGAGGCAGCAGUGGGGAAUAUUGGACAAUGGGCGCAAGCCUGAUCCAGCCAUACCGCGUGGGUGAAGAAGGCCUUCGGGUUGUAAAGCCCUUUUGUUGGGAAAGAAAAGCAGCAGGUUAAUACCCCGCUGUUCUGACGGUACCCAAAGAAUAAGCACCGGCUAACUUCGUG